CCUACGGGUGGCAGCAGUGAGGAAUAUUGGUCAAUGGGCGAGAGCCUGAACCAGCCAAGUCGCGUGAGGGAAGACGGUCCUACGGAUUGUAAACCUCUUUUGUCAGGGAGCAAGGCGCGCCACGCGUGGUCCGGCGCGAGUCCCUUAAGAAAAAGCAUCGGCUAACUCCGUGCCAGCAGCCGCGGUAAUACGGAGGAUGCGAGCGUUAUUCGGAUUUAUUGGGUUUAAAGGGUGCGCAGGCGGAAGAGGCAAGUCAGCGGUAAAGUUGCGGGGCUAAACCUCGCCGUGCCGUUGAAACUGCGAGUCUAGAGUGGGCGAGAGGUAGGCGGAAUGCGUGGUGUAGCGGUGAAAUGCAUAGAUAUCACGAAGAACUCCGAUUGCGAAGGCAGCAUACCGG
rnacentral:rRNA from 1 species